rnacentral:rRNA from 1 species
GACGAACCGUGCGAACGUUGUUCGGAAUCACUGGGCUUAAAGGGCGCGUAGGCGGGCUGCCAAGUCUGGGGUGAAAUCCCACGGCUCAACCGUGGAACUGCCUCGGAUACUGGCGGUCUCGAGGGAGGUAGGGGCAUGCGGAACUGUGGGUGGAGCGGUGAAAUGCGUUGAUAUCCACAGGAACUCCGGUGGCGAAAGCGGCGUGCUGGACCUCUUCUGACGCUGAGGCGCGAAAGCUAGGGGAGCAAGCGGG